rnacentral:rRNA from 1 species
CCUACGGGAGGCAGCAGUGAGGAAUAUUGGUCAAUGGACGAGAGUCUGAACCAGCCAAGUAGCGUGAAGGAUGACUGCCCUAUGGGUUGUAAACUUCUUUUAUAUGGGAAUAAAAUGUUCCACGUGUGGGAUUUUGUAUGUACCAUAUGAAUAAGGAUCGGCUAACUCCGUGCCAGCAGCCGCGGUAAUACGGAGGAUCCGAGCGUUAUCCGGAUUUAUUGGGUUCAACGGGAGCGUAGGUGGAUUGUUAAGUCAGUUGUGAAAGUUUGCGGCUCAACCGUAAAAUUGCAGUUGAAACUGGCAGUCUUGAGUACAGUAGAGGUGGGCGGAAGUCGUGGUGUAGCGGUGAAAUGCUUAGAUAUCACGAAGAACUCCGAUUGCGAAGGCAGUUCACUGGACUGCAACUGACACUGAGGCUCGAAAGUGUGGGUAUCAAACAGGAUUAGAUACCCGGGUAGUC